AUUAAAGAGUUCUAUAACUCCCAAACCCAUGUGAACAUACCUAACGUUGCCUCGGCAGGUCGCACCUACCUUGUAGCACCCUACCCUGUAGGGCCUACCCGGGAGGUGCGGGUAAGCCUGCCGGCGGCCCACCAAACUCUGUUUGAUAUUGAAUUCUGAACCUAUAACUAAAUAAGUUAAAACUUUCAACAACGGAUCUCUUGGUUCUGGCAUCGAUGAAGAACGCAGCGAAAUGCGAUAAGUAAUGUGAAUUGCAGAAUUCAGUGAAUCAUCGAAUCUUUGAACGCAUAUUGCGCCCAUUAGUAUUCUAGUGGGCAGGACCGUUCGAGCGUCAUUUCAACCCUUAAGCCUUCGUUGCUUAGUGUUGGGAGCCUACGGCAACGUAGCUCCUCAAAGUUAGUGGCGGAGUUGGUUCACACUCUAGACGUAGUAAUUUUUUAUCUCGCCUAUUAGUUGGACUAAUCCCCUGCCGUAAAACCCCCAAUUUAUCAAGGUUGACCUCGAAUCGGUUCAGACAAACUCGCUAAAUUGAAGCAUCUUAGUCAGCGAAGGAAAAGAAACCAACAGGGAUUGCCCUAGUAACGGCGAGUGAAGCGGCAACAGCUCAAAUUUGAAAUCUGGCCCUCGGGUCCGAGUUGUA
rnacentral:rRNA from 1 species